AAGCCUUGUGGGCUGUUGGGGAAACUGUGUCCUAGAGAAAAAUGUAGAUUUCCUCUUCCCAGUUUCCCGGGGUGUGGUGAGCCCAGCCUCCUGAGUUGGGAGGGGCAGGCUUCCAGAAGCUUCCAUCCUGGCCACACAAAAAUCAAGAGACUGGAGCAGGACGCAGCCCUCUAAGGAACUCUGAGGAUUCACCGAACACUCGAGAGGAAGUGGUGCCCACGCUAAUGUGCUCGGAGGCACUUUUCUCUCUGUUCGUCCAUCAGGGAAAACACAACAACAAAUCUGGAGAAGAGAGAGCCCGCAAGCCCUUUCUGUUCUAUACAGUUUUUCCCACAAACCCGG
rnacentral:lncRNA from 1 species